rnacentral:rRNA from 1 species
GAGUUUGAUCAUGGCUCAGAUUGAACGCUGGCGGCAUGCCUUACACAUGCAAGUCGAACGGUAACAGGUUAAGCUGACGAGUGGCGAACGGGUGAGUAAUAUAUCGGAACGUGCCCAGUCGUGGGGGAUAACUGCUCGAAAGAGCAGCUAAUACCGCAUACGACCUGAGGGUGAAAGCGGGGGAUCGCAAGACCUCGCGCGAUUGGAGCGGCCGAUAUCAGAUUAGGUAGUUGGUGGGGUAAAGGCCCACCAAGCCAACGAUCUGUAGCUGGUCUGAGAGGACGACCAGCCACACUGGGACUGAGACACGGCCCAGACUCCUACGGGAGGCAGCAGUGGGGAAUUUUGGACAAUGGACGCAAGUCUGAUCCAGCCAUGCCGCGUGCGGGAAGAAGGCCUUCGGUUGUAACCG